rnacentral:lncRNA from 1 species
UGGGUGGUCAGCAGGGCGGUUGAAAGAAUUGCCAGUGAAGCAUUCUCUACCGGGGGUCAUUUUACGCAGUGUAACCUCAGGCAGCGCCCGAUUCUGGGGGACUUGCUCCCGGGCAAGUGCAGGCGAUGCAGCCCCGAGCUUUCCAUGUCGGGAGGAAGAUCUGCAAGCGUCGCUUCAGUUGAAGCCGAGCGCUUCCUUCAGAUUUGCCUCUUUGUCGUUUCCCAGGAGGAAGCUACCCCAAAGUCAGAGGAGAAAGGCGAAAAAGGACUGUUUUUAGCCCAUCUUACGUCGAGCUUCCAAAAAAGUCGUUUGAAGAGGACCUGUACCCCGGAUACGAGACUAGGGAGUCGCUGGCGAGGAGCAUCGGAAUCGAAGAAGAUCGUGUGCACGUAAGAAGAGGGAUAGUGGGGGUUCCUAGGACUUCCUUAAACUGCAAAUACUGGAUAAAUUUAAAUCGCUCAGAAUAAUUCUUUCAUUGUCAUUCAAAUGCCUUAGAUCUUCCUGAUGCCUCCGAGCUUAACGUGAAAGGUGCCUUAUUCAAGAGCCAACUUCCUCUUUCCUGGGUUUUUGUGGGGUUUUAUUGGGGGCGGCUGUUGUACCGUGGAUAUAAAGGCUUUUUGUAAGGGGCGGGUGCGUUGUGUCCCCUCCUUUUCAACUGCAGGAAGAAAUUGUGCCCAUACUUGUUCAGAAAUCCUGGUUCCUGAUUAAGGUUUCCUUUUCCUUCCCACUCAAAUUAUUGGAGGCACAUACUUUCAAAUAUCAAAGGUUCUGGGUUUGAACAGUAAAAACUCUUAACAGACCUGGUUUCAACCUAAUUUGAGGAUAAAACCAUCUGGUUUCCUGGGCCGCCUUUAUAGCCUGAUCCACCUGACCGAACUCCCAAGGGAGUGUGCAUAGGAUAUUCCUAUUAGGAUUGCAGCAUUCAGCACCUUGCAUUGAGAGACCAAAUGUGCAGCAUUCAGUUCGUACCACAGUUAAGCAACAUUGCUUUUCUAGCCAAUGUCCCGCAAGUCCCUAGUUCUCCCACACUGAAAAAAUUACACCACAUGAGGCACAAAUAUUUGGUGGUCCUCUGAGCUAGAAAGUGAAAUUAUGACCUAUCCAUUUGGAAAUAAUGGGCAUUUUGUUCUCUCCUUUCUUUUGUUCAGACCUGGUUUCAGAACAGAAGAGCGAGAACAAAGGUUCCAAAAUAAUGAUCAGGAACCGACCUACAGCUCCUUAUAGCCGCUGUGACAGAAGAAGAAGUCCAUUACACAGCCUGGGGAGCAGCCCAAAAAGCAGCCAUGCAGCUUCCAUUAUCCCGAAAGCUUUUGUUCAGACCUGGUUUCAGAACUGAAGAGCGAGAACAAAGAUGACUGGGUCCAAAACAAUGAUCAGGAACCGAGCUACAACUCCUUAUAGCCGCUCUGACAGAAGAAGUCCAAGCACUCUGAGGAGCAGUGCAAGAAGUCUGACGCCGCAACAUUACCAGCCACGCAGCUUCCAUUAUCCCGAAAGCUAUGAAGGAGCAGGGUUCUGGCAGCCACCUCUCAGCACCACGCAACCAGGAGAGCCCGUCUAUGCCGCACAGCAGCAGAACUCCCAGGCAGCCUCCACCAUUGGCUGGUAACUUCUGUACUCCAUCAAGCAGUAAAACUCCCUGGUCUGCAAUGGGGAACAGUCAUGCAAUGGGGAACACUUAUGCAACGGGGAAUUAUCCAGCUGCAAAUCCUGUGCAAAUGUUGCUUGAAGAUUACCAAAAUGGGCAGCAAAGCAAUAUCUUCCCUUCCCCCGACGCCUUCUAGGGUUACUCAUCCAUAUGAAUACAUUUUACAGUUUUUCAGUAAAGUUUGUUAUUUUAAUGCCUUUGUCUGGGAUCAUCAUCUGGCUUUCCUUUUACUGAAGCAUUCUCUUCCCUUUGCCCAAGCAAGCUAAGAGCACUUGUAUAUAGAAAUCAAAAAUAAAAGCUGAACAAUUGGCCACUUGUUCAAAUAAGGGCCACAGUCAAAAUCUGGG